rnacentral:rRNA from 1 species
AACGAACGCUGGCGGCAGGCUUAACACAUGCAAGUCGAACGCCCCGCAAGGGGAGUGGCAGACGGGUGAGUAACGCGUGGGAACAUACCCUUUCCUGCGGAAUAGCUCUGGGAAACUGGAAUUAAUACCGCAUACGCCCUACGGGGGAAAGAUUUAUCGGGGAAGGAUUGGCCCGCGUUGGAUUAGCUAGUUGGUGGGGUAAAGGCCUACCAAGGCGACGAUCCAUAGCUGGUCUGAGAGGAUGAUCAGCCACAUUGGGACUGAGACACGGCCCAAACUCCUACGGGAGGCAGCAGUGGGGAAUAUUGGACAAUAGGCGCAAGCCUGAUCCAGCCAUGCCGCGUGAGUGAUGAAGGCCUUAGGGUUGUAAAGCUCUUUCACCGAUGAGGAUAAUGACGGUAGUCGGAGAAGAAGCCCCGGCUAACUUCGUGCCAGCAGCCGCCGCGGUAA